AAAUGAACAGCAAAAUUUCAUUUUUGGGUGAACUAUCCCUGUAAGAUCCAUUUUUAAUGUCUUUCUCAGAGUUUAUUAUGGAGGACUUGAAGCCCGAGGGCUGGCGGCAGCUACUUCAGCCCCAUGGUGCAGCUGGCAAAAACAGCACAAGUCUCCUUCGCAGGUCCUCAUCAUGGAGGAGGCCUGGGGAGCGGGGUUAUUACGAGGGCCCCGCGGCGCAGGUGAAUGAGCCCCCUCGCAGAGCUCGUCCACUGAGCUGCAUAGAGGGUGGCAGGAUGGACAAAUGGCUUCAGACACUAGAGAGACUCCAAUCACGUCGGCUUCAGAAUCAAAUACCUCCGUUUGUGGACAGGACGAUAUCAAUGCCAGUUCUCUCGAAUGAGACAGCGGGAAGUAACCCACUGUGUCCUGAUGUUUCCUCUCUGCGCAGGAGGAAUCAGACCCCUAGCGUCUGUCCCAGAGUGAGUGAAAGCUCCUCGAGCAGUCUGGAGUCUGUUCACAUUAAAGCUGCUCCCGCUGCAGAAAGAGCUCAGUUCUGCGCUCUCGCUCCAGUUCACUUCGGCUGGCUGCCCAUACAAAGACAUGUGAUACUGACAGACAUCUCUCAUAACCACCAUGACAACAGUAGGUGCCAGAAACUGAAGUCUCCCAUCACUCCAGUGUUGCUCAGCACUCCUGCCAAACUUAAUGGACCAAGACCAAAUGGUGCGUAUUGACUAAGAUGGCAAAUUAAAUUUCUGAAUGAACAACUUGUCCAAGGACACCAGUGAAUUAUGUUUAGAGGUUUGAGCUUUACACACUGGUGGUAUAAAGUAAAUUCAGUGAAAUACUUCAUGCAGAAAUCUAAGUUGUGCAUAUCAUUAAUGUUUCUAAAGUUGCACUAAAAAAGAUUUUUGGGGUAAAAAGUGAACAAAAUGGCAUUACUGAACAAGUGCAUGAAAUAAUCAGUGUUCUGUGAUAUUCUGUGGUAAGAUACAAUAAUGAUUUAUAUUAGGAGCGGUUUGGGUCGGAUUUACUGGGAAAUUUAAGGGAUAUCCUAUUCAUUAUUGCAUGAUUACAUCAUGUCCAUAAGUGUAGAAAAGAGAAUGAUGCAAGUUUGAGAGGUCCGAUGUAAAAAAGUGUUCUUUAGAAAGAAAAAGAAAGAAAAAUUAAAAAAACCUUAAACUUCCUAAGGUAAGUUCUUAAAUUCUCAAAAAAAGAAGAAUAUAUAUACAGUACACACACACACACACACACACACACACACACAUUAUUUUUUUUAUUAUUUUAUAAUGAGUAAAUACUUAAAAGAAGUUAUUUGCAAUGAUUUUUAAGAACAUUCUUUUCAAGAUUUGAGUUCUUAAGUUUUGUUUUAGGAAUAUUUUUUAGGUAUACAAAUAUUCUUAGUUCGAAAAUAAGAAGAAAACGAC
ensembl:lncRNA